GCCCUGCUGGCCUAAUGGUUAAGGCGUGAGACUUCGUGCGUUUCCCAGCGGCCGCCCAUCCGUAGCCUAAUGCUAACCUAUAAAAAAUCAUAGUAAUCUCAAGAUUGCGAGUUCGAGUCUCGCGUGGGGUU